ensembl:lncRNA
AGACAUCUCCCUACAAUCCUGAGCACAACACAAGCAGAGGUGCCAGGUACCAAAACAAUGGGCAUAUGGAUUUUUUCCUAUGGAAGACUAGCAAUACACUGAUUGGGACACAAGCUCUCACCUGCAUUAACUCUAGGAACCUGUUCUACAUUGAUUUAUUUAUUUUUUUAAGUGACAACAGAAGCAAGAAGUAAUACAAAACUGGAAACACUUUAAAGCUGACAACAAAAGGAUGCUUUGGCCAAGUCGUGGAAUCACGGAGUGGUUUGGGUUGGAAGGGUCUUUUAAGGUCAUACAGAUGAAAUUGUUUGUUAAAUUAAAGCAAGGUCUUAAGGAGUGAGAAGUUAACAAAUAGUGAACAAACAGCAGACUUAAUGGACCAGCACUAAAGGCAGAGUGCUUUCCUAUCCAUCAGCGCUUCAUUCCAAAGAAACCCAGGGAGUAAAAGCAGCAAAAAGGGGAACUUUCUUUUCAAACAACGUUGAACUCUUAAAAAAUGAAAUACAGAAGUUAGGGAAAGGGUUUGCUGACACCAUCUCUGUUUCACCAUCGUCACAUCUUCAUAGUGAAGAUUUUGGGACCUGCCAGACAGCUCUGAAGGAUGAAUUAGUUGUUUUGUACCAUAGGCUAACUGAAGUGGUCUUGAGGUGAGCAUGGCUGGGUGCAGCUAAGUCUGCCUCCUUGCUUGCUUCCAGAUCUGGAAAGACUUUCUCCCUAACACAGUUAGCAAGAGAAUCAACGUACCCCUCAUGGCCAGGAUGCCCCGUGCUGGGGGAAGCUCCUGUGCUCACUGCUGAGCAGGAGACUUCAGUGGGGGAAGAUGGCCAGAAGACCUCACUGCAAGGCAGCAAACAACAUGAGCUCAAAGAAUUCACCUUCUGUGCAAAGGGAGAGAUCUGAAGAGGCUCCCUGGUCAUCCUGCAAGCAGGGAUGAAUGAACAUCCGAAUCAACCAAUUUCACAAAACACAGUGACAAAAAUUAAGGAAUUUUUGAAUCCCUUAUUGAAAAAUAAGGGAUUUUUUUCUUAUUUGGCAUGGAAAUAAAUGGAUGCAUUGAUUUGCACUCCACAAUCCAGAAAGCUUGAAUCUCUGUGUCAGGAUGCCUCUCUCACAGUACUGAAGAUGUGCACAUUUGUCAGCUCUUAACACUUAAGGGACUCCCAGUACAUCUUGAUUUUAUCCAAUUUGGUGCAAAUUUAUAUCUGCUGAGCUUUGCUUGCAGGACAGCAGCAAGAAGGAUGAACUGUUCAAAGGCAGUAUGAUGUAGCAGCUUCAAGUCAUGCAUCGGAAAACUUCCACAUAAAGAUUUUUCCUUGCCAUCUGCACAAACAAAGCUGUCCUGCCCAUCCCCAUGGGCUUCACUCCCUCCUGCAGCAGCAAAACAGGCUCUGCCCUUCUCCAUCCUGCUCUGGAGACAGAACUUCCCUAUCAGCAGCAGUGCUGGGGCAGCCUGCUCCUAAAGCUUUACAAGACACACCACUGAGUUCAGAUCUGCAUUUGGACUCACAACAAAGAGAAACCUGUUCUCAAAGGUUCUCUUGGCCAAACUACAAAGCUGGGCUUUUUGUUGUUGUUGUGUGUGUUUUGUUUUCUUUCUUUGUAUGCAUGUGACAUCCUAACAAAGCACAGCCAAAGAAAUACAAAGUUUAAUUUGUUUGCGAAACUCAUUCACGAAGGCACAACGCUCACUGCAACAAUGCAACGAGCUGUUCCAAGGAACACAGAAAUCAGACAGAAUACCUACCUCCUCUACUGUAUUUGAGCCUUUCCUCUAUUUCCAUGGAGAUUGCAGCUGGAGGGAUAUUCUUUUUCUUUAAUUUUGCUGGAUUUGAUGAGGUUCUGUAAAGAUUGAACCACUGAGUGCUGGGUUUUUCCUUUUUUUUUUUCUUCUGACAUAACAUCGUUAUGUUGUUUGUAGGAAUUACGGUUUUUAUCUUCCUGUCAACAGAAUAUGCAUGCAAAUAGACUUAGAUUAUUUAUAGAGCAACAUCAAAUUAAACUGCUUGUAUAAU